AUGUCUUGUUUCAAGCUUUCCCAUGGUCUUUGUGAACACAUAAAUGGCUUGCUCCAGAAGUUUUGGUGGGGUAGUAGAAGAGGAGAAAGAAAGAUAGUGUGGGUCUCAUGAAAGACAAUGUCCAAACCAAAGUUCAUGGGAGGCAUGGGAUCUCGAGACAUUGAAUUAUUCAAUCUAGCUUUACUCACGCGUCAAGCAUGCACACUUAUGCAAGAUCCAAACUCGCUAAGUGCUCGGGUCUUAAAAGCAUGAUAUUAUCCGGAGUGUGAGUUACUUGAUGCGCCUUUGGGCUCGAACCCAUCACAGGUAUGGCGAUCCAUCAGAGGAGGGCGUGAGGUGCUCUCGCUUGGAUUGAUCAAACGGACACGAGCAGGAGCUCAUAUGAAGAUUUUGCAGGACAAAUGGCUCCUGAGGGACUAUAGUUUGAGGCCGAUUUGUGCUAUAUCACAGAACCCGCUGACAUUUGUUUCUGAACUCAUAGAUGGGGCGACCAAAACAUGGAACCAACUAGUUCUUCUAACCAUUUUAUAG
rnacentral:rRNA from 1 species